GGAAGGGAUUUAGCUCAGCGGUAGGGCAUCUCUUUUGCAUGCGGAAUGUCCCAGGUUCAAUACCUGACAUUUCCA